UCUUUCCGCCGAGGAAUCGCAGUUGCCCCGGGAUGGUGCGCGGGGGCUGUGCUGCCGCCUGGGCGGUCUCAGAAGUUUGAGGAGGCCUGCUGACCCCUGCCUGGAAUCAGGGACACCCUGCUCUGGGGCCCUCUCCUGAACACCAGGCAGUGCUUCGCAGUCUUCUGUAGUCCGCGGCCAUCCCGGGAUGCUUUCGCCUUCCAUUCCGGGGUAGGAAGCGGGAGGCUCCCAGUGAUUUGCCCCAGAGAAACGCAUGAGCUGAGGUUGCCUUUAACCCACACUGCUGUUGGGUCCUCUGCCAAGCAUUUUACAGACGAAGACACGACUCAGACGCCACCAGAUCCUCCCCUGGUCACACAGCUGCUCUUCGCCUGUUGCACAUUAUCCCUGAAUACGAGAUGUUUUCUAUUCCUGCACCGUCCCUCCGACGUGAGACACGACACCCAGAAAUCCUUCUGGACGUGGAGGGACAAAGGGCUGCGAAAAUCGGAAAACCUGGCUGUUGAUCAGCGCUACUUCCAGAGAAAGAUCUUGAUCAAAAAGGAGAAAAUCAUAAGAGAGAGCUUAACCUGGACAGAAAUCAGGAGGGGCUGUGGGAAGAGCUAUCACACCUAUGUCAUUGUGAGAGCCCUAUGGGAAGAACUCUACCUUUACAACAGAGCUCUAUGGUUGUAACAGCCCCUAAACUCCCUCUUCCCCCCUGUAAAGUACUUCCUCCUUCUUUGUACAUGUGGCUCAUCAUGUCUGCAUGUACCAGACUGCAAUUCCUUAUUUUUCCUGAAUAAAUGGUUUUGGUGAUGGAA